rnacentral:rRNA from 1 species
AUUGAACGCUGGCGGCAGGCCUAACACAUGCAAGUCGAACGGUAACAGGAAGCAGCUUGCUGCUUCGCUGACGAGUGGCGGACGGGUGAGUAAUGUCUGGGAAGCUGCCUGAUGGAGGGGGAUAACUACUGGAAACGGUAGCUAAUACCGCAUAAUGUCGCAAGACCAAAGAGGGGGACCUUCGGGCCCCUUGCCAUCGGAUGUGCCCAGAUGGGAUUAGCUUGUUGGUGGGGUAACGGCUCACCAAGGCGACGAUCCCUAGCUGGUCUGAGAGGAUGACCAGCCACACUGGGACUGAGACACGGUCCAGACUCCUACGGGAGGCAGCAGUGGGGAAUAUUGCACAAUGGGCGCAAGCCUGAUGCAGCCAUGCCGCGUGUAUGAAGAAGGCCUUCGGGUCGUAAAGUACUUUCAGCGGGGAGGAAGGGAGUAAAGUUAAUACCUUUGCUCAUUGACGUUACCCGCAGAAGAAGCACCGGCUAACUCCGUG